CGCCUGUUUAACAAAAACAUCGUAAAUAAUAUUUAUAAUACCUGCUCAGUAAUAUUUAAACAGCCGCGUUAGUGUUAAGGUAGCAUAGUAAUUAGUUUCUUAAUUGGGAAAUAGGAUGAAUGGUUUCACUAAAAUAUAGUUUUUAUCCUCAUUUGCGAAAUUUUAAUCUAAGUGAAAAUACUUAGCAGUUGUACUAGGACGAGAAGACCCUAUGAAGCUGGCAAACUAUUAAUACAUAUUCCUAUUAUUUAUUAGUUUAUUUUUUGGGGUAAAAUUUAAUAAUACUAUUAACACAAUUGUACUAAAUUACAUCCUUUAGGAAUUAUGAAGAAGCUCCUCUAGGGAUAACAGCAUUAUGCUUAAAAGAGUUCUUAUCAGAAUAAGCGUUUGUGACCUCGAUGUUGAAU
rnacentral:rRNA from 1 species